rnacentral:rRNA from 1 species
UGAGGAAUAUUGGUCAAUGGGCGCAAGCCUGAACCAGCCAUGCCGCGUGAAGGAUGAAGGCCCUAUGGGUCGUAAACUUCUUUUGUACGGGACGAAACCCCAGAACGCGUUCUGGGCUGACGGUACUGUACGAAUAAGCAUCGGCUAACUCCGUGCCAGCAGCCGCGGUAAUACGGAGGAUGCAAGCGUUAUCCGGAUUCAUUGGGUUUAAAGGGUGCGUAGGCGGGAUAUUAAGUCAGUGGUGAAAGCCUACAGCUUAACUGUAGAAUUGCCAUUGAUACUGAUAUCCUUGAGUACAGUUAAGGUAGCUGGAAUGUGUGGUGUAGCGGUGAAAUGCUUAGAUAUCACACAGAACACCGAUUGCGAAGGCAGGUUACAAAGCUGUAACUGACGCUGAGGCACGAAAGCGUGGGGAGCAAACAG